UACGUAGGGUGCAAGCGUUGUCCGGAAUUAUUGGGCGUAAAGAGCGUGUAGGCGGCCAGAUAAGUCCGCUGUGAAAUCUCGAGGCUCAACUUCGAGCUGUCGGUGGAAACUAUCUGGCUAGAGUCCGGAAGAGGAGAAUGGAAUUCCUGGUGUAGCGGUGAAAUGCGCAGAUAUCAGGAAGAACACCAACGGCGAAGGCAGCUCGCUGGGACGGUACUGACGCUGAGACGCGAAAGCGUGGGGAGCGAACAGG
rnacentral:rRNA from 1 species